GACGAACGCUGGCGGUGUGCUUAACACAUGCAAGUCGAACGGUAAGGCCCUUUCGGGGGUACACGAGUGGCGAACGGGUGCGUAACACGUGAGUAACCUGCCCUCAUCUCUGGGAUAACAGUCGGAAACGGUUGCUAAUACUGGAUAUGAGCUUGCAAGGCAUCUUGUGGGUUGGAAAGAUUUUUUUUGGUUGGGGAUGGACUCGCGGCCUAUCAGCUUUUUGGUGAGGUAGUGGCUCACCAAGGCUUCGACGGGUAGCCGGCCUGAGAGGGCGACCGGCCAGAGUGGGACUGAGAUAAGGGCCAAAAUCCUACGGGAGGCAGCAGUGGGGAAUAUUGCACAAUGGACGGAAGUCUGAUGCAGCAACGCCGCGUGCGGGAUGACGGCCUUCGGGUUGUAAACCGAUUUCAAUUGUGAAGAAGCUUUUUUGUGAAGGUAGCAGUAGAAGAAGCAACGGCUAACUACGUG
rnacentral:rRNA from 1 species